CGAGAACUGCUUCCUACAUGUCCCCACCCCUCUCACUGCUGUAGCUUCAGGGCAGAAGAGCCACAGAGCCAAAUGCUGCAGAGAUGAAGGGAGACGGAAAGAGCCAAAUGCUGCAGAGAUCAAGGGAGACGGAAGGAUGUCGCCUCCAGAGCUGGGGCCACGGGCAGCGCCAGGGCAGGUUCAUCACUGAUGGCAAGUCUGUGGCUGACCACGUUCACAGGGGUGGCCCUGAGCAAAGGUCGGACAUGAGGACCCAGGAGAAUUCAGGCCCCGGCUCUGGGACGGCUGUGCACCCCCACCCUGGCCGUGGCUGGCACCUCAGAAGGCACAGCUGUCCUUCACUCGCACGGAGCAACCUCGGGACAGAUGGUGGGAGAGGAAGGGCAACUCGAGGAGGCACAUUUUAGGAAACUGCCCACGGAGCCAGUUUCGAUUCUCCAAACCUCGUCAGCAUGCAGAGGCUCCCUGACUCGGCAGCAAGGAGGGCCUCAUCAGCCGACCCCCAUGCCCGGCACCCCCUUCACCAGUGGGUAAACUAUGCUCGCCACCACUCAGCACUCACCUCUUGGGCUCAGAGGGCAGAAAGUCUGACCCUUCUCUCUUAAAAGCAGGGUCCUGAAAACUCCAGAGAGCAGUGCCCUGUGCAUUAAACACAGACUGCGCCCUUGUACUCAGGAGGAUGCAAUUCUCUCUCUAAAGUCGAGAGCUCACCACCCCGGGCGUUCGUCACUGCAGACAUCACUGCAGACACAGAGACGGCCAUUAGAGCUCACCACCCCGGGCGUUCGUCACUGCAGACAUCACUGCAGACACAGAGAAGGCCAUUAGAGCUCACCACCCCGGGCGUUCGUCACUGCAGACAUCACUGCAGACACAGAGACGGCCAUUAUGCAGCCUCACGUGGUCACUCCUGGGGGCGGUAGGAUAUUUUAUCCUAAAGAGAAAACACCUUAAAUUCUCACAUCAGCCACCCCCAUGGCGACUCUUAACACCUUAAUGUAGCACCUUCCAACUUUUCC
rnacentral:lncRNA from 1 species